GGGCCCGCACAAGCGGUGGAGCAUGUGGUUUAAUUCGACGCAACGCGAAGAACCUUACCUGGUCUUGACAUCCUGCGAACUUUCUAGAGAUAGAUUGGUGCCUUCGGGAACGCAGUGACAGGUGCUGCAUGGCUGUCGUCAGCUCGUGUCGUGAGAUGUUGGGUUAAGUCCCGUAACGAGCGCAACCCUUGUCCUUAUUUGCCAUCAUUUAGUUGGGCACUCUAGGGAGACUGCCGGUGACAAACCGGAGGAAGUGGGGGACGACGUCAAGUCAUCAUGGCCCUUACGACCAGGGCUACACACGUGCUACAAUGGGGCGUACAAAGGGUUGCAAUCCCGCGAGGGGGAG
rnacentral:rRNA from 1 species